AUUGAACGCUGGCGGCAUGCCUUACACAUGCGAGUCGAACGGCAGCAUGGGUGCUUGCACCUGGUGGCGAGUGGCGAACGGGUGAGUAAUACAUCGGAACAUGUCCUGUAGUGGGGGAUAGCCCGGCGAAAGCCGGAUUAAUACCGCAUACGAUCCACGGAUGAAAGCGGGGGACCUUCGGGCCUCGCGCUAUAGGGUUGGCCGAUGGCUGAUUAGCUAGUUGGUGGGGUAAAGGCCUACCAAGGCGACGAUCAGUAGCUGGUCUGAGAGGACGACCAGCCACACUGGGACUGAGACACGGCCCAGACUCCUACGGGAGGCAGCAGUGGGGAAUUUUGGACAAUGGGCGAAAGCCUGAUCCAGCAAUGCCGCGUGUGUGAAGAAGGCCUUCGGGUUGUAAAGCACUUUUGUCCGGAAAGAAAUCCUUGACUCUAAUACAGUCGGGGGAUGGCGGUACCGGAAGAAUAAGCACCGGCUAACUACGUG
rnacentral:rRNA from 1 species